rnacentral:rRNA from 1 species
UGCGUAGGUGGUGAGGUAAGUCGGAUGUGAAAUCUCCGGGCUCAACCCGGAAACGGCAUUGGAAACUACCUUGCUAGAGGAUUUGAGGGGGGAGUUGGAAUACUUGGUGUAGCAGUGAAAUGCGUAGAUAUCAAGUGGAACACCAGUGGCGAAGGCGAAUCCCUGGAAAAUAACCUGACACUGAGGCACGAAAGCUAGGGGAGCAAACA